rnacentral:rRNA from 1 species
UACGUAGGGUGCAAGCGUUGUCCGGAAUUAUUGGGCGUAAAGAGCUUGUAGGCGGCUUGUCGCGUCGUCCGUGAAAACUUGGGGCUCAACCCCAAGCUUGCGGUCGAUACGGGCAGGCUCGAGUUCGGUAGGGGAGACUGGAAUUCCUGGUGUAGCGGUGAAAUGCGUAGAGAUGCGGAGGAACACCGAUGGCGAAGGCAGCCCCCUGGGCUGACACUGACGCUCAGGCACGAAAGCGUGGGGAGCAAACAGG